GCUGAGCAGUGCCAUGUGGUGCAGUGUGAUGCGGCAGUGCCAAGGCGCAGGGCUGGCGACGCUGGCCAUGGUGCUCCUGGUGGCUGUGGGCAGAGCCCAGGUGCAGCAGGAGCCGUUGGCAGAGGCCACCGAGGGCACCAGCACCAACAUCACCUGCUCACAUCCUAGCAUUGCUGCAGGCUCAACUCAGUGGUACCGGCAGCACCAGCACCAACCACCGCAGCUGAUAGCAAUGGGUGUCAGAGGCGAAAAAGUGGUGCUGGACCCACCAGGAACCCUGCUCAUCGCGGCAGACCGUCUCUCCAACACCCUGCGCCUUGCCCAGCCCCGCUGGUGGGACACUGCACUGUAUUACUGCGCUGUGAGAGACACACGGUGGCACCUGUGGCUGCCUGGCCAAGAGUGGGGCAGCGUGUUUUAUCGGACGCUCUGGAUGCUGGAGGUGGGAGCAGAGGAACCGGGCUCCCUUUUCCUCACCCGCAUUUCACUGCCUACCUCCUCAUCACUGGUGCUGCCUCCAGCUGGUCUGGACCAGGCCUAUGAGGAGUGA